UACGGCCCUAUUCGAAAAAUGCAAUACGGAAAAGAUAUGAGAUCGUUAAGUUCUGGUUUAGAUAUAGAUAAGUUCUCAAUUAGAUAUCGUUUGUAUGUGGUAUAAUUGACAGAAGCUGCACGAUUCGGAUGACCAAUGUCACUUUGACGUUAGAAUAUCUUUGAAAGAUCUUAGUCAGUGUUGCCAGAUGGGUUUUGCGUUCCGUUACGUGCACCUCUUAAAAAUAGUACGCAAAUUCAAGUUGAGUACGCAGUAUAAAAUUUACGGUGCGUUCCUAAAUAAUAUUAAUCGGAAAACCACCGAAUUUUAUCGCUACUAUAAAAAUGUUGAAAAUAGAACUUCACAUAUUUCGAUAAAAUAUUUCUUGUUUAAGGAGACUCAAUUCAAUGCAAAUUUGCCAACGGUGGCGUUUCGAAAUGUAAUACCGUCGCGGCGUCUGUCAUACUUCGGUCUACUUAAACACGCUGCACGCUGCUGCGACGCGUCAGGGCCUACCGCGAACCACGUUCGACGUGUUGCCUCUCUGUCGCACUUAUAAAUUCGUACGUAAGUAUGACAGGGAGGCAACACGUCGAACGUGGUUCACGGUAGGCCCUCUGUUCUGUGAUUGUUAGGCAAACACAAACAUUUUUUUUUACAACGGACGCCCACGAGUAUUCCUCUGCGUUGAAGUCAUUGUUGAAGUUUGAAAACUCAUAAAGUUUUGUUUUGUGAGUGAAACCGUGAAUAAUACUAAAUAAAAAUGUGUGACAGUGAUCACAGUGAUGAAAAUAUGUUGCCCACUACUCCUCAGGAAAUAUUAAAGCCUUUUCCGUUUAUGUUGUUCCGUUGUUUGCUAUUUUGACAACUUGAAAAGUUUUAUCGGCAGUUUGCGUGUUAUUACUGUGAAGUGUUUGGCCAAACCGCCGCUACCACUUUUGAAAGGAUGCCACCCAAAAAUCCAAAAAUGUAAGUUACACAAAACAAAAAGAAUUUAUUUGCAGAAAAAUAUAGCUAUUUGCCAGUUCCUUUGAUCGUUAACUUAUGUGACUGUUUUUUUUCAGUCGCUCGAACGCAGCACAAAUUAGACUGCUCGUUGAAUACAUGUCACAGCACACCCGGUUCGCCAACCGGGAAUUUGACGGGCCUCUAAGGACCCCAGAGGUACGAGGCGCAAUGGGAGGCCCUUGCACAGGCCUUAAGGGAGCACGGGCCCAAUAAGUCAGUGCAGGCAUGGAAAGUGUAUCGGCAUAUAAUAACAAGUCAGAAAAUUUGAAACGAGUGGCGAUAAAUUAAAACACGACUGAAGGGAGUGUUUUAAAUUGACACGAGUUGCGAAUUACCUAUUCGCACAUGUAUCGUACAACGUUUUACAGUACAUAAGGUACCCUUUAAAUGUUUGACACAGUAACGUAAUAUGGUAAUUUUCGCACUAGUGCGGUAAAGUAGUACCAUAUGUACAGUCAGCGUCAAAUACUUCGUAGUACACCAUACUAAAUAUAUGGUGUACCGAACUAUUUGGCUACUUUGGUUGCUACAAAGUAUUUGACGCUGACUGUACUGUAAAAGCUGUUUUAAUACUAUUAAUAAGUAUAGUUAGUGUAUUAAUUUUGCCAUAAUCGCAUGCAGUUAUGACUAUGGGUAUAAAUAUUGUUGAAUUUAUAUAGCCGAGUCCACACAGAGCGACCGAGGAGGCGCGUGCGUUUUCCUUGCCCGAGCGCACGUCUACACUGGCCAGUUUGUGCGUGAGAAUAUUGCCUCACGCAUAUGCUCGCUCUGUGUGGACCCGGCUAAUCAUGUAUAAAUGACAACAGAUUUUAUUCUCUAGGUGGGCACCUGCUCCCCGCUGGUGCCCACCCUUGCAGAAGCUAGCAUUUUCAGAUAUAUUUACUUUUUAAGUUUUUGGUUUGGUUUAACCGGAAUUAUUUUUACCCGAGUAUGAGAAUGGGAAGGGUUAUGAUUUUAGCAGUCUACGUAUGGAUGCCGUAUAUAUGCCGGUAUGUUUUUGUUGUGUAUAAAUUACUAAUCAAUUUUGGUGAAUGAGGUGUUUAUAGGUUCAUUUUUAUGGGGUGACAUAGACUACAUAAUAAUAUUUAACUGACUUUGGACAAGGAAGAGGUGCUAUAGUUAAGAAAAAAAUCAUAGUCGGGUAAAAGUUUUUACAAUCUUUUGCUUGUUUUCAUUCUUAUAACAAAUAUUUUAAACUUGCAUGUGCUCAUUGCCUCAGAUUGACGACUACGUUGAGUUUUCGGGUGCUGGGAACAGUGUGGCUGGCAGCACGUUUUCUGCCACUGCUGAAAAUCUCGUUGUUGUUCCAACAACCGCCACCGUUACUGCGGCCUUGCUCAGCGAACAACCCCACUUCUCCACCUCUCAUUUGUCCUCGUCUCCCUCUCCUUCUGCCAGCCCUAUACGCUCCACGCAUUCAGUACUGCCCACAAGUCCUGGACUACCCGAACGUCCCUCUCUUGCCGCCCUUUCCGCCCGCUAUGCCCGUCCCGCCCUUCUCGCUCGUUCCGCAAUAACCGCCCAACCCGCACGUCUUGUCCUGCCUGCACGUCAAGUACACAGCUCUGUGUACGUGGAUCCGCGCCCUGCACGCGUAUCCACGUACACAGAGCUGUGUACUUGCCCCGCAACCGCACGACGGAACCGGCACCUUCGACAGCACAAUUUAAUCAUCUGCAGCAUGAGCAUGAUAAUAUUUUAAGAGUAAUUAAUUAAUUUAUGAACUAAUAAUUCUGUUUUAAGAUCAGGUUGAGUACGAGAAACAUUGUUUAUUUAACUUGGGACAAGAAAAACAGUAACUUGGCAGUAAGAAUGCAUACAUAAAGCCUGUAAGCUCCAUACUUGACGUACCAUUCCCUACAAGUGUUUCUCUUGCCUCCAUAUUUCGCUUACCCCAUCUGACCUUAUUUGUAUUGAUAAAACAUACAAAUAAUAAAUAUAUAUAUACGCGAGCAAUCGCAAAAUCUACAUUUCGGGAUUUCUCGUAUCGUACAGUGCCGUUUAAAUAAAAUAACACCACCAACUACCCAUAAGAGGGUUAUUAUGAAACUUAUAAUUAACAUGCAUUUUAUUGAAAGGCUGGAAUUUUAUUUAUCUUGAAAUCUUGACCAUGGUCAUAUGUUUGACUGGACGGUACACGGCAAUGUUAUUAUUACUAAUAUAUUUCAUAACACUAGACUUAUUCAAUCCUAAGUAACCUAUUAGCUUCUCAUUCGUGUGCGGUAUAUAUCAGCGUUUGGUAGUAUCAUAAUAGUCAAAUCUGGUGUUGGUUGUUGUUAAUAGUUAAAUGUUCAUAAAAUUUGACAACUUAUUAUAGUUAUAUUUUGUGUGAGUCAGUUAUCAUAACAGAAAUAAGAUAUAAAGCUGUUAAUACCGUAAAUUGUGUAUGGAUAUGUUUGACUCAAAUUCUGUAUUCCCACAAUAAGUAGGUAUACGGGGAGCCCGUAAGAAAUCAGUGGUAUAUGAAGGCUUUCUUGUGCAACUUUAGUAUGAGCUGGAACAAGUAAAUGUAGUUAUGUAGAACAGAUAAUCUCCAUUGUGGUAGAUGGCGCUAUUUAUUAUGUGCUCUGUGAUACCACUUAGUUUAAACUUGCUAUAACAUAUUUUAUGUUGACAGGAUAUCCUGAACGAACUGAAAUUUUUUAAUGAGGCGCAGAAACAAAAAUGGAGUGUUUUGAAGGAGGGGCACGACUUGUUGGCGAAUCGUAUUAACACAUUGGAGGACACCGAGAUUAUUGAGAACUUGGAAAACACAGUUAUAAUGGAAGAGGAAGACGUCUGAGCUAAGCGCUGUCCUCGCACCCUCCGUCUAGUUUACGUUUGCGGCCAUAUCAAAAAUACACACCGUAUGUUUAUUAGGGUUCCGUACCAAAAAGGUACAAAAGGAACCCUUAUGGUGCUAUUGCUAAAUAUCUCGAGAAGUACUUAAGCUAUCGAUGUGAAAUUUGGAAUAGUAAUGAAUAACGCUGACCCAAACAUAUUGGAUGUGUAUUUAUUUUAUUUUAUUUGUAAGUAUUAAUAAUGGAAAAUUCCCAAUAUGAAGAGGGGGUAAAAUUGCAAAGUCUAGUUAAAUAGGUCAAGUGGGGUAUCAUUUGAAAGAGCUCAAAUUGAAAAUUACAAAACAAUUUUUUAUUUUCAUUGUGAAAAAAAAAUUUACGUAUGAAGGAAAAUGUGAAAAUAAUACCAUCCCCCCCCCCCCUCUCUCAUCUCCGAAGUUUAAGAAUAAAAAUUGAUUUUUUUACAUUGGUCAAGUCUUUCAUGAGAAAAUUUGAAGUUUGUACGGAACCCUCGGUGUGCGAGGUAAACGAACUCGCACUUGACCGGUUAUUCUUAUUGCCCAUAAGGCCCGUCCUUAGAUAUAUGUCAAUGAUUACGGUGAUCUCGAAAAUGGCUCAAAUGAUUUCAAUUAAAUUUGCUAUAUGGGGGUUUUCGGGGCGUUUUUGAGUUUUUACCUAUUUGUUUUCCGAGCAAAAGGAAUUAAAGUUUACUGAUUUUGAAAA